rnacentral:rRNA from 1 species
AUACCAGCUGGCUGCAACUGUUUAUUAAAAACACAGCACUGUGCAAACACGAAAGUGGACGUAUACGGUGUGACGCCUGCCCGGUGCCGGAAGGUUAAUUGAUGGGGUUAUCCUCGCGGAGAAGCUCUUGAUCGAAGCCCCGGUAAACGGCGGCCGUAACUAUAACGGUCCUAAGGUAGCGAAAUUCCUUGUCGGGUAAGUUCCGACCUGCACGAAUGGCGUAAUGAUGGCCAGGCUGUCUCCACCCGAGACUCAGUGAAAUUGAACUCGCUGUGAAGAUGCAGUGUACCCGCGGCAAGACGGAAAGACCCCGUGAACCUUUACUAUAGCUUGACACUGAACACUGGUCCUUGAUGUGUAGGAUAGGUGGGAGGCUUUGAAGUGUGGACGCCAGUCUGCAUGGAGCCAUCCUUGAAAUACCACCCUUUAAUGGCUGGUGUUCUAACGUGGGCCCCUAAUCGGGGUUGCGGACAGUGUCUGGUGGGUAGUUUGACUGGGGCGGUCUCCUCCUAAAGAGUAACGGAGGAGCACGAAGGUCAGCUAAUCCUGGUCGGACAUCAGGAGGUUAGUGCAAUGGCAUAAGCUGGCUUGACUGCGAGCGUGACGGCGCGAGCAGGUGCGAAAGCAGGUCAUAGUGAUCCGGUGGUUCUGAAUGGAAGGGCCAUCGCUCAACGGAUAAAAGGUACUCCGGGGAUAACAGGCUGAUACCGCCCAAGAGUUCAUAUCGACGGCGGUGUUUGGCACCUCGAUGUCGGCUCAUCACAUCCUGGGGCUGAAGUAGGUCCCAAGGGUAUGGCUGUUCGCCAUUUAAAGUGGUACGCGAGCUGGGUUUAGAACGUCGUGAGACAGUUCGGUCCCUAUCUGCCGUGGGCGCUGGAGAAUUGAGGGGGGCUGCUCCUAGUACGAGAGGACCGGAGUGGACGCAUCACUGGUGUUCGGGUUGUCAUGCCAAUGGCAUUGCCCGGUAGCUAAAUGCGGAAGAGAUAAGUGCUGAAAGCAUCUAAGCACGAAACUUGCC